rnacentral:rRNA from 1 species
GAUGAACGCUGGCGGCGUGCCUAAUACAUGCAAGUCGAGCGAAUGGAUUAAGAGCUUGCUCUUAUGAAGUUAGCGGCGGACGGGUGAGUAACACGUGGGUAACCUGCCCAUAAGACUGGGAUAACUCCGGGAAACCGGGGCUAAUACCGGAUAACAUUUUGAACCGCAUGGUUCGAAAUUGAAAGGCGGCUUCGGCUGUCACUUAUGGAUGGACCCGCGUCGCAUUAGCUAGUUGGUGAGGUAACGGCUCACCAAGGCAACGAUGCGUAGCCGACCGGAGAGGGAGAUCGGCCACACUGGGACUGAGACACGGCCCAGACGCCGACGGGAGGCAGCAGUAGGGAAUCUUCCGCAAUGGACGAAAGUCUGACGGAGCAACGCCGCGUGAGUGAUGAAGGCUUUCGGGUCGUAAAACUCUGUUGUUAGGGAAGAACAAGUGCUAGUUGAAUAAGCUGGCACCUUGACGGUACCUAACCAGAAAGCCACGGCUAACUACGUGCCAGCCGCCGCCGUAA